rnacentral:rRNA from 1 species
UACGGAGGGGGCUAGCGUUGUUCGGAAUUACUGGGCGUAAAGCGCACGUAGGCGGCUUUGUAAGUUAGAGGUGAAAGCCCAGAGCUCAACUCUGGAACUGCCUUUAAGACUGCAUCGCUUGAAUUGUGGAGAGGUAAGUGGAAUUCCGAGUGUAGAGGUGAAAUUCGUAGAUAUUCGGAAGAACACCAGUGGCGAAGGCGACUUACUGGACACAUAUUAACGCUGAGGUGCGAAAGCGUGGGGAGCAAACAGG